rnacentral:rRNA from 1 species
GCCGCGUGGAUGAUGAAGGCCUUCGGGUCGUAAAAUCCUGUCAGAUGGAAAGAAAUGUAUGGUGGCUAAUACCUGCCAUAUUUGACGGUACCAUCAAAGGAAGCACCGGCUAACUCCGUGCCAGCAGCCGCGGUAAUAAUCGAAUUCCCGCGGCC